ACACAUGCAGUCGAACGGUGAACACGGAGCUUGCUCUGUGGGAUCAGUGGCGAACGGGUGAGUAACACGUGAGCAACCUGCCCCUGACUCUGGGAUAAGCGCUGGAAACGGCGUCUAAUACUGGAUACGAACCACGAAGGCAUCUUCAGUGGUUGGAAAGAAUUUCGGUUGGGGAUGGGCUCGCGGCCUAUCAGCUUGUUGGUGAGGUAAUGGCUCACCAAGGCGUCGACGGGUAGCCGGCCUGAGAGGGUGACCGGCCACACUGGGACUGAGACACGGCCCAGACUCCUACGGGAGGCAGCAGUGGGGAAUAUUGCACAAUGGGCGCAAGCCUGAUGCAGCAACGCCGCGUGAGGGAUGACGGCCUUCGGGUUGUAAACCUCUUUUAGCAGGGAAGAAGCGAAAGUGACGGUACCUGCAGAAAAAGCGCCGGCUAACUACGUGCCAGCAGCCGCGGUAAUACGUAGGGCGCAAGCGUUAUCCGGAAUUAUUGGGCGUAAAGAGCUCGUAGGCGGUUUGUCGCGUCUGCUGUGAAAUCCGGAGGCUCAACCUCCGGCCUGCAGUGGGUACGGGCAGACUAGAGUGCGGUAGGGGAGAUUGGAAUUCCUGGUGUAGCGGUGGAAUGCGCAGAUAUCAGGAGGAACACCGAUGGCGAAGGCAGAUCUCUGGGCCGUAACUGACGCU
rnacentral:rRNA from 1 species